AAAGUCGUAACAAGGUUUCCGUAGGUGAACCUGCGGAAGGAUCAUUAUCACGUUAUCCACGUAUAAACCAAACUUCGUGAACUGUAACCCAAACCUCAUUAAACAGGUUGGAUAAUUUGGGAGAAUUUAUUUUUUUCCAAAGGUUUGCUUUUGAUUUUAAUGUAAUUGUUUUCAUUGCUUUAUUUGUAGUGACAAUGAGAUAAACAAUUAUGUUGCGAAAGCAGAGCUCUUAUCCGAUCAUAUUAAUGAGUGUAAUAACCCUUCACUACAAUACCUUCAUUAACCAAUUGAACCGUACUAACUUUACAUAAAAGUUAUUCUGAUUUUACUUCGAACUGACUUGUUUCUUACUCGACACAAAAUGUAAUAGUUUUGUUUUGAGAAGAAAUCAAUGAUUUACGAAAUUAAUCGAACAACUCUUAGCAACGGAUAUCUUGGUUCUC
rnacentral:misc_RNA from 1 species